rnacentral:rRNA from 1 species
GAGUUUGAUCCUGGCUCAGAGUGAACGCUGGCGGUAGGCCUAACACAUGCAAGUCGAACGGCAGCACAGGAGAGCUUGCUCUCUGGGUGGCGAGUGGCGGACGGGUGAGGAAUACAUCGGAAUCUACCUUUUCGUGGGGGAUAAACGUAGGGAAACUUACGCUAAUACCGCAUACGACCUACGGGUGAAAGUGGGGGACCGCAAGGCCUCACGCGAUUAGAUGAGCCGAUGUCCGAUUAGCUAGUUGGCGGGGUAAUGGCCCACCAAGGCGACGAUCGGUAGCUGGUCUGAGAGGAUGAUCAGCCACACUGGAACUGAGACACGGUCCAGACUCCUACGGGAGGCAGCAGUGGGGAAUAUUGGACAAUGGGCGCAAGCCUGAUCCAGCCAUACCGCGUGGGUGAAGAAGGCCUUUGGGUUGUAAAGCCCUUUUGUUGGGAAAGAAUCCUAUCGGUUAAUAACCGGUGGGGAUGACGGUACCCAAAGAAUAAGCACCGGCUAACUUCGUGCCAGCAGCCGCUGU